GUAGAGCACUGUUUCGGCAAGGGGGUCAUCCCGACUUACCAACCCGAUGCAAACUGCGAAUACCGGAGAAUGUUAUCACGGGAGACACACGGCGGGUGCUAACGUCCGUCGUGAAGAGGGAAACAACCCAGACCGCCAGCUAAGGUCCCAAAGUCAUGGUUAAGUGGGAAACGAUGUGGGAAGGCCCAGACAGCCAGGAUGUUGGCUUAGAAGCAGCCAUCAUUUAAAGAAAGCGUAAUAGCUCACUGGUCGAGUCGGCCUGCGCGGAAGAUGUAACGGGGCUAAACCAUGCACCGAAGCUGCGGCAGCGACACUAUGUGUUGUUGGGUAGGGGAGCGUUCUGUAAGCCUGUGAAGGUGUACUGUGAGGUAUGCUGGAGGUAUCAGAAGUGCGAAUGCUGACAUAAGUAACGAUAAAGCGGGUGAAAAGCCCGCUCGCCGGAAGACCAAGGGUUCCUGUCCAACGUUAAUCGGGGCAGGGUGAGUCGACCCCUAAGGCGAGGCCGAAAGGCGUAGUCGAUGGGAAACAGGUUAAUAUUCCUGUACUUGGUGUUACUGCGAAGGGGGGACGGAGAAGGCUAUGUUGGCCGGGCGACGGUUGUCCCGGUUUAAGCGUGUAGGCUGGUUUUCCAGGCAAAUCCGGAAAACUAAGGCUGAGGCGUGAUGACGAGGCACUACGGUGCUGAAGCAACAAAUGCCCUGCUUCCAGGAAAAGCCUCUAAGCAUCAGGUAACAUCAAAUCGUACCCCAAACCGACACAGGUGGUCAGGUAGAGAAUACCAAGGCGCUUGAGAGAACUCGGGUGAAGGAACUAGGCAAAAUGGUGCCGUAACUUCGGGAGAAGGCACGCUGAUAUGUAGGUGAAGUCCCUCGCGGAUGGAGCUGAAAUCAGUCGAAGAUACCAGCUGGCUGCAACUGUUUAUUAAAAACACAGCACUGUGCAAACACGAAAGUGGACGUAUACGGUGUGACGCCUGCCCGGUGCCGGAAGGUUAAUUGAUGGGGUCAGCGCAAGCGAAGCUCUUGAUCGAAGCCCCGGUAAACGGCGGCCGUAACUAUAACGGUCCUAAGGUAGCGAAAUUCCUUGUCGGGUAAGUUCCGACCUGCACGAAUGGCGUAAUGAUGGCCAGGCUGUCUCCACCCGAGACUCAGUGAAAUUGAACUCGCUGUGAAGAUGCAGUGUACCCGCGGCAAGACGGAAAGACCCCGUGAACCUUUACUAUAGCUUGACACUGAACAUUGAGCCUUGAUGUGUAGGAUAGGUGGGAGGCUUUGAAGUGUGGACGCCAGUCUGCAUGGAGCCGACCUUGAAAUACCACCCUUUAAUGUUUGAUGUUCUAACGUUGACCCGUAAUCCGGGUUGCGGACAGUGUCUGGUGGGUAGUUUGACUGGGGCGGUCUCCUCCUAAAGAGUAACGGAGGAGCACGAAGGUUGGCUAAUCCUGGUCGGACAUCAGGAGGUUAGUGCAAUGGCAUAAGCCAGCUUGACUGCGAGCGUGACGGCGCGAGCAGGUGCGAAAGCAGGUCAUAGUGAUCCGGUGGUUCUGAAUGGAAGGGCCAUCGCUCAACGGAUAAAAGGUACUCCGGGGAUAACAGGCUGAUACCGCCCAAGAGUUCAUAUCGACGGCGGUGUUUGGCACCUCGAUGUCGGCUCAUCACAUCCUGGGGCUGAAGUAGGUCCCAAGGGUAUGGCUGUUCGCCAUUUAAAGUGGUACGCGAGCUGGGUUUAGAACGUCGUGAGACAGUUCGGUCCCUAUCUGCCGUGGGCGCUGGAGAACUGAGGGGGGCUGCUCCUAGUACGAGAGGACCGGAGUGGACGCAUCACUGGUGUUCGGGUUGUCAUGCCAAUGGCACUGCCCGGUAGCUAAAUGCGGAAGAGAUAAGUGCUGAAAGCAUCUAAGCACGAAACUUGCCCCGAGAUGAGUUCUCCCUGACUCCUUGAGAGUCCUGAAGGAACGUUGAAGACGACGACGUUGAUAGGCCGGGUGUGUAAGCGCAGCGAUGCGUUGAGCUAACCGGUACUAAUGAACCGUGAGGCUUAACC
rnacentral:rRNA from 1 species